rnacentral:rRNA from 1 species
AUUGAACGCUGGCGGCAUGCCUUACACAUGCAAGUCGAACGGUAACAGGUCUUCGGAUGCUGACGAGUGGCGAACGGGUGAGUAAUACAUCGGAACGUGCCUAGUAGUGGGGGAUAACUAUUCGAAAGAGUGGCUAAUACCGCAUGAGAUCUACGGAUGAAAGCAGGGGAUCGCAAGACCUUGUGCUACUAGAGCGGCCGAUGGCAGAUUAGGUAGUUGGUGGGAUAAAAGCUUACCAAGCCGACGAUCUGUAGCUGGUCUGAGAGGACGAUCAGCCACACUGGGACUGAGACACGGCCCAGACUCCUACGGGAGGCAGCAGUGGGGAAUUUUGGACAAUGGGCAAAAGCCUGAUCCAGCAAUGCCGCGUGCAGGAUGAAGGCCUUCGGGUUGUAAACUGCUUUUGUACGGAACGAAAAGCCCCGGGUUAAUACCCUGGGGUCAUGACGGUACCGUAAGAAUAAGCACCGGCUAACUACGUGCCAGCAGCCGCCGCAG